rnacentral:rRNA from 1 species
CGAGCGGAUGACGGGAGCUUGCUCCUUGAUUCAGCGGCGGACGGGUGAGUAAUGCCUAGGAAUCUGCCUGGUAGUGGGGGACAACGUUUCGAAAGGAACGCUAAUACCGCAUACGUCCUACGGGAGAAAGCAGGGGACCUUCGGGCCUUGCGCUAUCAGAUGAGCCUAGGUCGGAUUAGCUAGUUGGUGGGGUAAUGGCUCACCAAGGCGACGAUCCGUAACUGGUCUGAGAGGAUGAUCAGUCACACUGGAACUGAGACACGGUCCAGACUCCUACGGGAGGCAGCAGUGGGGAAUAUUGGACAAUGGGCGAAAGCCUGAUCCAGCCAUGCCGCGUGUGUGAAGAAGGUCUUCGGAUUGUAAAGCACUUUAAGUUGGGAGGAAGGGCAGUAAGCGAAUACCUUGCUGUUUUGACGUUACCGACAGAAUAAGCACCGGCUAACUCUGUGCCA